GUUGGCAAAAGGUAUUCUUGAAAAAGGUCUCUGCUGGAGGGUUGGCAAAGGGGAUCGUAUUUCUGUUUGGGAGGACCUCUGGAUUUCGGGCAAUGAAGACGACAGAUUGCAAAAUCAUCAGAGAGAUGGAAAUAUUAAGUUAGUUUCGGGUUUGAUUGAUGUAGAUAGAAGAGAGUGGAAAGCUGAUAUAAUUUCUUUUACCUUCAAUGCAGAAGUUGUUAAAAAGAUCUUGCAAAUUCCAUUGGCAGCGACAGCAAAUGAAGAUUUCCAAGUCUGGAGAGGAGAACCCUCUGGCAAUUUUUUGGUUCGGAGCGCCUACAAACUAUUAUAGGAGGGUACUCAAAAUCCUAUUAAUUUACAAACCGAGACUAAAUUUUUUUACAAAAAACUAUGGAAUUUACAAAUUCCCCCGAAAAUCAAAGUUACAAUAUGGGGAAUCUAUUGGAAUUACAUUCCUACUUUUGCAAAUCUGAAGAUCAAACGAACAGUUGUAGAUGCUCGAUGUCCUCGAUGCAAACUGGAAGAGGAGGACUAUAAUCAUAUUUUUCGUGGAUGCUCUAUAACAAAAGAAGUUUGGAGACUUACACAGUUAUCAUGGAUACUUAUUAAUACUCAAGAUACUUUUUGGAAUUGGCUUACAUGGGUUUUUAGUCGCAGGACAAACGAACAGUGCCGACUUUUCUGUUGCGGGCUUUGGAUCAUCUGGACAAGCAAGAACAAAUUUGUUUACGAAAACAGACAAACAACAAGCAGGGAUAUCUCUCAUAAAAUUUCAGAUUUUCUCUCUGAGCUAAGAGGAAUCGAGGAGAAGAAACUUAACUUGGCAGGAAAUGGUGUUCCGCGAACUGUUGGGAGAUGUACGAGAAUCUCAGUUUACUUUGAUGCGGCCUUUGAUCAGCAAAAUGCAAGAUCUGCUUCGGGACUUGUUGUUCGAGGCGAGGGUGGGGAGAUUUUAGUCUCAAAGUCAGUUAUCCAUACCAACAUUGCAACUCCAUUCGCGGCAGAAGCACAUGCAAGGUUACAAGCCUUAGAGUUAGGAAGAUCUAUGGGGCUUAAAGAUUUACAAAUAAUGGGAAAUUCGAAAACGAUUAUCAAAAAGUGUCAAAGUUCAGAACAAGACAGAUCGGUCAUCGGAGCAAUCAUCAAAGAUAUUCAAGAGAUUAAAACCAAUUUUAAUAGUAUAUGUUUUUGUUAUAUUCUGAAACUGAUAAUAUUUUUGCCCAUUUGGUUGCAAUAGAAGCUUUAAAGAAGGGAGAAGAACAUUACCUGGCUGGGGCGAUUCCAAAUACUGUCCGACAAGCAGUGGAGAGGAUGAAUCCAAGAUAUUAAGAUUAAGAGCAAAAAGGUGACUGUUGGAAGGAGUAGCAAACGGAAAAAAAGAUUUGGGGAAAUCUGCUACUAUUAAUGGUUGGGUCGGUGAUGGGAAAUGAAAAGAUAAUGGAGGCCAGCUGUUUCUGAUCAACUGAGAUUUCUAGAAGCAUU
rnacentral:lncRNA from 1 species